rnacentral:rRNA from 1 species
UACGGAGGGUGCAAGCGUUAUCCGGAUUCACUGGGUUUAAAGGGUGCGUAGGUGGGCAAGUAAGUCAGUGGUGAAAUCUCCGGGCUUAACCCGGAAACUGCCAUUGAUACUAUUUGUCUUGAAUACUGUGGAGGUCAGCGGAAUAUGUCAUGUAGCGAUGAAAUGCUUAGAUAUGAUACAGAACACCAAUUGCGAAAGCAGCUUACUAUGCUAUUAUUGACGCUGAGGCACGAAAGCGUGGGGAUCAAACAGG